rnacentral:lncRNA from 1 species
AGAACAGCACAUGCUCAUGACUGGUAAGCCAUGGUUGGUGCUGCUGGCAUGGUUCCAGCUCCAUGGCUAAUACUUUAGAGGUGUAUUUUAUGCCACUGCUCAGAGCUGCUCGAGGAGGACUGAGCUACACUGGCAUACUGUGGCUGGAUCGCAUAACACACUAUUUUGUUCUGCCCAACCCUCCAUUUCAGCACUAGAGGAAGGAACUGUGCAAAGGAGUCAUUCUGUGUGCACACACAAGCUCAACUUGAGGGAACCUUUGCUACCUACGACCACACAUCUCUACUCCGUUUCCAGUCAUGUUUCCUGUCUCUCCCAUAUCAGAUUCUAGUACCAACAUCUUGGCUUAAAGUGAACAAAAGUUGGCACUGAUGUGGAAUCAUCACACUUCCUCUGAGCUUCCUACUGCAGCAGUGCA